rnacentral:rRNA from 1 species
UACGUAGGGUGCGAGCGUUAAUCGGAAUUACUGGGCGUAAAGCGUGCGCAGGCGGUGAUGCAAGACCGAUGUGAAAUCCCCGGGCUUAACCUGGGAACUGCAUUGGUGACUGCAUCGCUCGAGUAUGGCAGAGGGGGGUAGAAUUCCACGUGUAGCAGUGAAAUGCGUAGAGAUGUGGAGGAAUACCGAUGGCGAAGGCAGCCCCCUGGGUCAAUACUGACGCUCAUGCACGAAAGCGUGGGGAGCAAACAGG